rnacentral:antisense_RNA from 1 species
GGAACUAUCAGUAACAAUAGUUCCUGUUACUGACUUGAUAUGGUCUCUGCCAGAAUAGCUUCUCAGAUUAAUGGCCACUCUCAGGGGAAGCAUUUCUCCUUGCACUGGUUUGCUGGUAUGGAUGGCCCUUAGAUUUUGGCAUGAGUGAUUAUGCAGCAUAUUUGAAGAAAAGCUGUUUUCAGGACCUUUUUAAUUAAAUAUGGCCUGUUACAUGAGUUAAAGUGUCAUACGAUACCACUUUUUGACCACUUAGUUGAUGCCUCUGAAAGGAAGAGAGAAUCAGAUCGCUAAAAUUGGAUGUGUCGUCAGUGUGGAUCCUACUCAAUAGUGUCACGACGAGGCUGAAAAUCAUAUUAAGUGCUUUUAGGACAGAAACGUAAACUGCUCAGGUAAAAUAACCUUAUAAAGAGAAAUAAGCAUAUAUUGCAGAGGCCUUGGCUAGGUUCAUGAUGACAUAGGACCUUGUCUGAACAUAAUGAUUUCAAAAUUUGAGCUUAAAAAUGACGCUCUGAAAUCCAGUCAGUGUGCCUCACUAGGCUUUUCGAUUUCUAGAUUUUCUGCGGAAAAUGUUGUGAAAACUUUGAAUGCUUAAAAAUGGCAGGUGUAGUAUUGUACUUUGCUAGUUGCUCAGAUACCCUUUUUUAUUUGUAUAGAUAUUCUGAGUUCCUUUUUUUUCCUGCAUGUUGUAUGUUGUCGAAAGCUAAAAGGAAACUUAUCCUUGGAUCACGGAAGGCAGAGGCACUUGGUGAGAUGGAAACAAGGAUGUGUAAAAAUGAGACUACCGCCUCUCGGAUUAAAAAAAAAAGUGCCAGAGUUCUAGGGUUCUAAGUGAUGUCCAGGAAGGAGGAGGAAUAAUAUUUAUGGAGCAUAUAUUAUGGAACACACCAUUACGAAUGGUUUUUGAUUGAACUCACAAAGAGCAUGUGAUUUAGACAUUAAUGCAGCGACUACCAUGAAACAGAGUAUUGGAUUACCUAAGGAAAGAAGCAGAAGAUGGAAUUUGAGGCAAUCAGGAUGAGUGAAAAAUUUAUUUGCAGCUAACCUGCAAAUGGAAUCAUCAGGAACAUUCCUUUCUCAUGGAGUCCCUUAAUUUACAAGUUAACUGCAAACAUAGGAGAUGAUAGUUCCAAGAAGGAACAUUUUAUCGUCUUUGUUUUUAAUCUCAAGAAUGGUACCUACCAUCAGUGAAUGACCUGUUGCAGUGCUUUCAUUGAAGUGUUCUUCAUUCCCUCAGCAAUAUGAUUGUGAUGACUGAAAAAGGGAAACUCUGCCACUAUUUGUACCAUCAUCUUCACCAAAAUCUAAAAAUGCUUUUUAUGAUGUAUGGAGACAUUCUUCAUGUUUGUUUCAGUGGACACUCCUUGCAGAUGUAAAAAACUGAGAAAGCUCACUUUUGGAAAGUGACCUAAAGAGUAUCAUUGAAGUGAAUUUUAAGUAGGCACGAUGAUUGUUUUCAUGGUUGCUGUUGGAUCAUAUCUCAGGAGCUGGAAUGACAGACAUUAUUGAACAAAGAAAUCAGGAUAGUGGAACUUAAAGGGCUUCAUCUCAGUGCUUUCAUAAGUAUGAAGUGCAUAUAUUUAUAAUUUUCACUAAUCACAGGAAUAUUCCCUGUGUAUACUUGCAUUUUUUUCUAUCAAUUGACGCUUACAAUUAGUUUUGCAAGUUGGAAAAAAAUGCAGUAUUAAUUUCAUUUGCAACAAAUUUAAUAGAUUAAUUAGGAGAGAAUAGAUAUCUUUAAAAUUGAGUCUUCUAUCCAACUGCAAGUUAUAGCUGAGGUGGUACCAGUUUAAGAAGUGAGAACUUCUUCACUGACUGAAAUUUGCAUAUCAAUCCAAAUCAUUGUGCUUGUUUACUAUUUUUGUAGACGUCAUUCUUCAAAAGUGCUGCAUCUUUCGUAGUCAAGGAGGACAAAGACAUCUUUCCUGCAGGUGGUGACCAUGUGGAUAAUAGGAUUAUAGACAAAUGGUGGUUCCAUCUACAGUAUCACCAAAAUGCUGUUGUUAUUGCUUCUUUCUGGGAUCUUCUUGCAUCUUUGCUUCUCAAGGGGCACAACUUUUAUAGAAGUAUGUCCAGGAAUAGAAGUGACCUGCUUUUUCGCAAGUAAUUGCCUGGAAUGUUUUUAUGUACUUCUCUGCACUCUCAAUACAUUUCAUGCUUCCCUCUAUUUUUGUAUAUUAACUCAUUGUAUUUCUUAAAUUUAUAUUUUACUUUAUGAAUGGAAGUGAGAUUUGUGUAUGGUAAAUAUAAUUAAUUCAACCCCAUGGACACGUUAGUCACUCUCCAGAUGAUGGCAAGUCUUUCUCAGAAGCAGAGGGCCUUGGUGUGCCAGUGAUUUUUUUUCCCAUGUGUAAGACACUUUUUUUCCUCAUUUGAAUCAGGAGCCCACAGUUUUUAGACAAGUCUCAAAUGAAAUCUUAAGCAUUUGUUUUAUCUGGACUAGACUUUCUGUAGUAUCCUUUUUGUUAGACCUAAUAUAUCUCACUGCAGAUCAGGAUCUGAGAUUGACUAUAGUUCACCUCCUUCCAAGUACACAAACUUGGAUGACAUGACAACUGAGUGUGUAAGGGAGAGCGAGACCCUUGCACUGCCAUUUGAGCCAUUGUGAUCUCAUCUUGUAGAACAUGUUGUACAAUCAUUUUCUUGGUAUCAUUAGUGUUCUUUGGGGCUAGAAUAAAAAUCUCAGUGUACCAAAGAGAUUUCCCCUUUAUCCACAUUACCCUGGUUUUCCUUUGUUUUCUGUUUAACCUAAACGGGCUUAAUAUAAAAUAGUGUUUAUUUGGUGUUUUAAUUGUCUACUUCUAUAACAUAAGCUGCACUGUCCACUGGGGAACUGCUCACCAUAUUGCCCAACCUGUCUUGAUAGGUUUAUACAUGGGAGGUAUUCAGUAAUAUUACCUCUCUAGACCAGUGUUAGCAAUAACAAACACUUGCUAGAAUUUUAAGACUAUAUAAUCAAUCCCUUUGAUGUCAGUUAAUCCUACCAACACAAGAUUAAAGGUUUAAAAAUCUCAUACGUGUACAGCCAUUUGUGUCUCCUUUCAUACUAUAUUAUUUUGUUCAUUGGCAGCUAGAUUUUUAGGUAGAACUUGUGUUCCUUUUUGCGAUACUCAUUUAUUUUACCUGGACAGAAGAUGCUCUUCUGUCUCUUCUCCAAAGUUAAUUUAUCUCAUACUAUUUCUUGUGUUGAUAUUUUCCAAGUUCAGGAUGCUGUUCUGGUUAUAAGAAGAUCAGAGUCCUACUCACACACUUUUACAUUAUAUGAAACAUCAUACAGAAUUUUGUAGUCUGUAUAACAAUAUAUAGAGGUCAGCAAAAUUUGUGAAAGAGCAGACUAUAUAGUCCAUACUGUUGUUAACUACUCAACAUUGCCAUUAUAUGUGAAAUCAGCUAUAACCAAUUCAUAAACAAAUGAAUAUGGCCGUGUUCUAGUAAAACUUAUUUACGAAAACAUGUGUUAGGCCAGAUUUGGACCACAGGCUGUAGAUUUCUGACCUCUGGCUUACAGCAGAUGUUUAUUAUGAUCCUGGGAAAGGUGGAUAUACAUGGAAAGCAGAAGCGAGAGGAUGUAUUCCAUCCCAUGUCAUUUUUCUGAACCCUCAACGUAGGAAGUUAAACUAAAACAUGGUGCAGAAUCUGCUUUAAGCCUUUGAAUUCUUGGCUCUUAAAGCCAGGUUAAGGGUUGUGUGUUUUAAUUCUUUUAUAUCUCCUUUUCACUUAGGCUUGGCAACUAGUUCAUUGAAACAGAGCCAACAAGAAUGAGUGAGUCACUCAGUGAUAUGAAGCAAGCUGUGGUCAUUUAUCUACUAUCUUCCAUUCCUACUUCCUAGGUUUGAUAAGUAGUAUUUGUAGUAUAGUUGUCAGUAACUUUUCUCAGCUUACAUAAGUUUAUGUGGAAUUCAUUUACAAAUGUGUGAUUAUUACGAUAGAUGUUAUUUUAUAAAUUUCAAGGUUCUUUAAUAUAGCAUGGACAUGUUUCUAAAUCAAUAAAUAUAGCUUACCCAC